GUGAAUCAUCGAAUCUUUGAACGCAAAUUGCACUCUCUUCGGAGAGUAUGCCUGUUUGAGGGUCAGCCUAAAAAAAAAUCGACAUAGUCGCUGUUUUGCGGUGUCAUUUUUCUGAAAUUGGGUCAUCUUAAACCUUUGGGUUUUAAGCGGCUUAAAAUUUUUUUUAUGAUUUCACGUACGUUUCUAAGAUUUUCUUUUUAUACUUUUAAGUUAUUCUAUUUUUAUUAAACGUGCCCCUUG
rnacentral:misc_RNA from 1 species